UGAUCUGACGAGCUUGCUCUGAUGUGAUUUUAUCUGACAAAGAGUGGCGAACGGGUGAGUAACACGUGGGUAACCUACCUCUUAGCAGGGGAUAACAUUUGGAAACAAGUGCUAAUACCGUAUAAUACCAACAACCGCAUGGUUGUUGGUUGAAAGAUGGUUCUGCUAUCACUAAGAGAUGGACCCGCGGUGCAUUAGCUAGUUGGUAAGGUAACGGCUUACCAAGGCAAUGAUGCAUAGCCGAGUUGAGAGACUGAUCGGCCACAAUGGGACUGAGACACGGCCCAUACUCCUACGGGAGGCAGCAGUAGGGAAUCUUCCACAAUGGGCGCAAGCCUGAUGGAGCAACGCCGCGUGUGUGAUGAAGGGUUUCGGCUCGUAAAACACUGUUAUAAGAGAAGAACGGCACUGAGAGUAACUGUUCAGUGUGUGACGGUAUCUUACCAGAAAGGAACGGCUAAAUACGUGCCAGCAGCCGCGGUAAUACGUAUGUUCCAAGCGUUAUCCGGAUUUAUUGGGCGUAAAGCGAGCGCAGACGGUUAUUUAAGUCUGAAGUGAAAGCCCUCAGCUCAACUGAGGAAUGGCUUUGGAAACUGGAUGACUUGAGUGCAGUAGAGGAAAGUGGAACUCCAUG
rnacentral:rRNA from 1 species